rnacentral:lncRNA from 1 species
UUCUCCCUCUUUGCUCCUCCUCACUUCCCACUUGGCCUCCUAGCAUCCUUGUCUCUGUUGGGUUGUUAAAAACAUCCAUCUUGUUCCUUUUUUUAAUCUUAUACUAAUUCCCAAAAAAAGAAAAAAAGGACGCUUGAUUUGAGGAGGGUUUGUUCAUUGGAGGAGUCAUGGCAGUUUGCUGUGAUCUUGAAGUUGAUGUCAAUGGUCAAUGGUCAAG